AUGGAGGCAGCGAAGCAGUCUAGCGAGGACAUAAGAUUGGACCGAAAUCAAGUUGCGUUUGGGAAGCGUUGUCCACUAUUACCAUUGUCGUAUCUUUUGUCAUGCUAGGGUGGUGACUGUUGAGGCCCAAGCCCUCGUUCGUCGUUCAUUUGAUUGGUGGGAUUUCUAUUGGAUGCACGCCACAGAUCAGGGAGCUUUGACGACUGCUACACCAUAUGUUAGCAGUUUGAUCAUUUCUACAUUGAAGACGAUUUUGAAUUUAAGUUUGGCAGGUGCUUGCCAAACUUAGUUGAACGUGUAAGUACUAAGGAGUACACUCCAACUAUUAAAUUUGUAUUUUGUCUACCACACUAAGUAUACAAAAUUUUGGGUUCAACCACUCCUUGGGUUCUCUCAUCCAUCUUCUUAC